rnacentral:rRNA from 1 species
UACCCGCUGAACUUAAGCAUAUCAAUAAGCGGAGGAAAAGAAACCAACAGGGAUUGCCCUAGUAACGGCGAGUGAAGCGGCAACAGCUCAAAUUUGAAAUCUGGCUCUUUUAGAGUCCGAGUUGUAAUUUGCAGAGGGCGCUUUGGCUUUGGCAGCGGUCCAAGUUCCUUGGAACAGGACGUCACAGAGGGUGAGAAUCCCGUACGUGGUCGCUAGCUAUUGCCGUGUAAAGCCCCUUCGACGAGUCGAGUUGUUUGGGAAUGCAGCUCUAAAUGGGAGGUAAAUUUCUUCUAAAGCUAAAUACUGGCCAGAGACCGAUAGCGCACAAGUAGAGUGAUCGAAAGAUGAAAAGCACUUUGGAAAGAGAGUCAAACAGCACGUGAAAUUGUUGAAAGGGAAGCGCUUGCAGCCAGACUUGCUUGCAGUUGCUCACCCGGGCCUCUGUGCCCGGUGCAUUCUUCUGCAGGCAGGCCAGCAUCAGUUUGGGCGGUGGGAUAAAGGUCUCUGUCACGUACCUCUCUUCGGGGAGGCCUUAUAGGGGAGACGACAUACCACCAGCCUGGACUGAGGUCCGCGCAUUUAUGCUAGGAUGCUGGCGUAAUGGCUGUAAGCGGCCCGUCUUGAAACACGGACCAAGGAGUCUAACAUCUAUGCGAGUGUUUGGGUGUCAAGCCCGAACGCGUAAUGAAAGUGAACGGAGGUGGGAACCCGCAAGGGUGCACCAUCGACCGAUCCUGAUGUCUUCGGAAGGAUUUGAGUAAGAGCAUGGCUGUUGGGACCCGAAAGAUGGUGAACUAUGCUUGAAUAGGGUGAAGCCAGAGGAAACUCUGGUGGAGGCUCGCAGCGGUUCUGACGUGCAAAUCGAUCGUCAAAUUUGGGCAUAGGGGCGAAAGACUAAUCGAACUAUCUAGUAGCUGGUUCCUGCCGAAGUUUCCCUCAGGAUAGCAGUAACGUAUUCAGUUUUAUGAGGUAAAGCGAAUGAUUAGAGGCCUGGGGGUUGAAACAACCUUCACCUAUUCUCAAACUUUAAAUAUGUAAGAAGUGUUUGUUGCUUAAUUGAACGUACACAUUUGAAUGAAACGUUAUUAG